CUGGACAAUUUCUUUUCUUCCAGGAUUCUCCCAAAGAGCUUGGCUGCCUCCAGGGCACAUCCCCAGUGGAUGGUGAGCCCAUAGCCUCCAUGGCCAUAGUUGUGGAUGACCUAGGAGAGGCAAGAGAGAAGGUGGCCAGGUCCGAGAGGGACAGUGGAAAGAAUAGAUGAAGCUCUUCUGCCCUGGAAGACUCAGGAGCCUCCCGAAGAGUCCUGGGCAAAGCCAGAUGCCACCUGAGUUUCUCUUGGCACCCGGGUGGAAUGGUGGGGACCCCCUGGAACAGUUGCAAGAGAUGAUGGGGCAGCCACAAAAUGGAUAUCUGGAAAUAGCCUUGGAGUCAAAUUCAAAUCACAUCCCAGCCCUGCCUUCCACCAGUGGUCUGACUUGGGCAAGUGACUUCACCUCUUAAUUCACCCCAGUUUCCUCAUCCGAAGCAUAGGGAGAACUGUCCCUAUCCCAAAGAGCUCCAGAGGAGAUUUAAUAAGGUCAUUCAUGUAAUGAACUUGCUGCUGUGUCUGACACGAAGUACACAUCCAACAUUUGCAGAAGACACGUUGGAACCCCAGCUCUGUCUACAGAUGAGAUGAUCUCAUCUCAAGCACGCAUCGUGAGCCCCUAAGCUGCCCAACCCAGCCCCAGUGACUCUCACCACGAGUAAGUCAAGGGACACACACAUUGCAAGACGCUACUAUUGUUCCUGAGUGAAUGACUGAGAAUGAGGACUGCAUUGGGUCCACCAUGUAUCUUCGGUGUCCAUCAGGGCCUGACCAGAGCAGGUUAGUCUUCAUGACAUAGCACUAGUAGCUACAUGUACGGAGUGCCUUCCAUGUGCCAAGCAGGGUUUUAGAUGCUGGGAUUGAAUGAAGCCAUACAGUAAAGCUCUUUUUGCUGGUGCCUGGAGAUGGUGGCUUUUCCUAUCAUUAUUAUUGGUGGUGGUGCUGCUUUAGAGGUGAGUCAGCUGAGGGCCUGGACUUUGCAGAAAGACCAACCCAGAUGUCAGUAGGGUUAGGAAGCAAUCAAGUUCUGACCUUGGAGUGCAGCUGACACUGAGAAAAUGCGGCCAGCUCUCUAGCCCCAAAACUCAUUGAGUCUCAGGUAUAAAUCAGCUCCCAAUGGCCACCAUGAUCCCAGUGUUCCUUUGUUCCCACUACCAACAUGAAGGCAGAGACUUCCUCCUUCAGAAUACCUGAGUGCUUCUGGGGCAAGGGUCUGGGGCAGUCCUGUGGGGACCCUAGGAGCCUGAGAAGGAAGCCACCGACUCAGCAGCAAGAAGCAGAGGCCUCCCCUCUUCUCCCUGCCCCAUCCACCGCAUCAGCCCUGCAGCUCACCUCCUCAAAAGACUCCACUUUUCGCUGGAAGAACUUCACUCCCCUCUCAGUUAACCUGGGAUGAUCAAACACAUAAAAAAGCCCAGUAUUCAGCUAUCUGCCCCAUCCCACCAAGAGGGUGGCACAGGGACCUUUCCCAAACAACCUUCUGCGGACGUUAGUCGCACAGGAUGCUGCUUGAGAAGAUGGCUGUGUCAUCAAAUCAGCUCAUGAGCACCUAGCUGGACUGGUGGUCCACAAAAUCUCCUUUGAGAAACCAGAGAUGGUCCAAGCCCCUUGUGGGGCAGAUGGAGUGGGGGAAGGGCCUUGCUGAAGGCCAUAGAGUGAGUCAAUGAUGGAGUUGGAACUCAAACCCAGGCCUCUUAGCCCCGAGCACUUCCUAUGACCACCACAUUGCUUUGUAACAGCAAAGGCGAUGAGAUUCAGAGUAGAGAAGGGGAGAGUUGUACCAGUGCCAAAUUCCCCUUUGUCAGAAGCCGGGCAUGAGGAGGGAGGUGGGCUGAGGACAUCCACCCUCCUUUUAAACAUCCCAUAGGAAAAACAUCUAUCACGAUUAGAAAUACACUAGAAACAGUGAGGUGCGGUGGCUCACGCCUGUAAUCCCAGUACUUUGGGAGGCCGAGGUGGGCGGAUCACGAGGUCAGGAGAUUGAGACCAUCCUGGCUAACACAGUGAAACCCCGUCUCUACUAACAAUACAAAAAAAAAAAAAAAAAUUAGCCGGACGUGGUGGCAGGCGCCUGUAUUCCAAGCUACUCAGGAGGCUGAGGCAGGAGAAAGGCAUGAACCCAGGAGGCGGAGCUUGCAGUGAGCCGAGAUUGCGCCACUGCACUCCAGCCUGGGUGACAGAGCAAGACUCCGUCUCAAAAAAAAAAAAAAAAAAAGAAAGAAAAAAAGAAGAAAGAAAGAAAUUACACUAGAAACAUCCAAAGAACAGGAAAUAAGCCAAAAAGAAGGUGAAGCAUACCCUUGGAACUAUCUCAUUUCCAUCAUUUCCUCAAGAUAGAAAAACAUCUUGAGGGCAUGUUUUUCCUGGAAAAGACUGGACAAGGGUCAUGUGUCCCCAGGUUAGGAGAAAUAGCCAUGUCUUAGUACAACGAUUCCCAAACAUGGCUGAUAAUUAGAAUCGCCAGGAAGCUUCUUAAAAUGCAAAUUUUUGCUAGGCCUGUUUGCUCACGCCUGUAAUCCCAGCACUUUGGGAGGCUGAGGCAGGAAGACUGCUUGAGCCCAGGGGUUUGAGACCAGCCUGGGCAACAUAGUGAGACCCUAUCUCUACAAAAAUAUUAAAAAAUUAGAUAGGCAUUGUGGCACAUGCAUGUGGUCCCAGCUACUUUGGAGGCUGAGGUGGGAGGAUCACUUGAGCCCAGGAAGUUGAGGCUGCUGUGAGCUGUGUUCAUACCACUACAUCCCACUCCAGCCUGGGUGACAAAGUAAGAUUUUGUCUCAAAAAAAAAAAAAAAAAAAAAGCAAA